rnacentral:snRNA from 1 species
GUGCUUUCUUCAGCAGCACAUAUACAAAAAAGUUUGGAAUGAUAAAGAGAUUAGCAUGGCACCUGUGCAAGUAUAACAUGCAAAUUCGUGAAGCAUGCCAUAAUUUU